AGAGUUUGAUCAUGGCUCUGAACGAACGCUGGCGGCAGGCCUAACACAUGCAAGUCGAACGAGAAGCCACCUUCGGGUGGUGGACAGUGGCAGACGGGUGAGUAACGCGUGGGAACGUGCCUUUCGGUUCGGGAUAACCCAGGGAAACUUGGGCUAAUACCGGAUACGCCCUUCGGGGGAAAGAUUCAUUGCCGAAAGAUCGGCCCGCGUCGGAUUAGCUAGUUGGUGGGGUAAUGGCCUACCAAGGCGACGAUCCGUAGCUGGUCUGAGAGGAUGACCAGCCACACUGGGACUGAGACACGGCCCAGACUCCUACGGGAGGCAGCAGUGGGGAAUAUUGGACAAUGGGCGAAAGCCUGAUCCAGCCAUGCCGCGUGGGUGAAGAAGGCCUUAGGGUUGUAAACCCCUUUCAGCGGGGAAGAUAAUGACGGUACCCGCAGAAGAAGUCCCGGCUAACUCCGUGCCAGCAGCCGCGGUA
rnacentral:rRNA from 1 species